CGCCGCGGGUCCGAGUCUGCGGCGGGCCAGGGCAGGGACGAGCUGCGCGCGGCCGGCUCCGCGGCGACAGGGCGCGGCGUCUGCGCCGCCACUUUAUCCCCGGGCCGGCUCGGCGGCGGGGGCGGCCCGAGCAUUGCCGAGCCGCUGUCUCAGCGUCACAGCCUUGGAUCACAGGAGGCCCAGGCCGGAGCAGAGCCUUCCUCUAAACUUGGAAACAGCCGCUCCCUGCUAAUGCUCCUGGAAAAGCAGUGGAAGAUGGCCAAAAUCCUUGGGCCCCUGCACCCACGUGGGAGACCCAGAAACAGCUCCUGGCUCUUGGCUCCUACCUGGCCCAGUCCUGGACGUUGCAGCCAUUUGGGAAAUGAACCAGCAGAUGGAAGAUAUCUCUUUGUCUGUAAAUCUGCCUCUGAAAUAAAUAAAUCUUAACCAGAGAGAGAGAAAGUGGAUAAAGACUUUAUUUUAGGGGGAGUAGAACGAGAGUCGGGGCUGAGCCUGCCCGGGUCAGGGAAUGGGGGUUUGAAACCAGGCUUCGUUCCGUCUGAGCAGCAGGCAGAGUCUGCCGCACACAGAGAUAGCAUGCACACGCACACAUGCACACGCACACACACUACAUGGGGACUGCCCUCGGGAUGGAUCUGCCCU